GAGGAGGUUGAAGGCCUGGGAGGAUGGAGGGGGAGGUAGAAUGAGAAGAGGAAGAAAACGGAAAGUGGGGGAGGGGAGGGGUAAAAAAUGGUAAGAAGGAAGGAAGACAGUUAGGGAGGAGGGGAAACAAGAGGUGUUUGAGGACCAGGAGGAGGCGGACAAAGACUUGGGAGUGGAGAGAGAGGGAGUGGAGGAGAAGGGAGGCCAGAAGGAGCGAGCAGGACCAUAGAGCUGGAGCCGGGGUGGAUUUGAAGCAUCUGAGGGCGCGGAAACUAGCCGACCACCAGCCACAGUUGGCCUGCUUCCGGGACACUAAGACUCUAGGGGGAGGUACUCUAGGGGCAGCUGCCUCCUCCAGGAAGUCCUCGAGGAACUUCAGGGAGCAAAACUUAAGGUGGUCUCCCUCCAUUUCAGUGCGGAAAAACAGACCUGAGGGAACCCAUUGUCUCCCUGGGACUCGGAGGCCCCCAGCACUCUAACAAGGCCUCUGAGCCGCUCACUUUUCCCAUCUGGUGGGAAAACUUGAAGCAAAUAGGGACACAGUGGCUUCCGUCCUGGAUUCGGAGGUCUCCACGGUUUCCUCCGUCCGGGCGCCAGGGCGCGGGCUCUGAGCCCCAGUGGCCUGCUUGGCACAGGUGCCUUGCGGCCUGCGCGUCCAGUCGCUCCGCCCCAGUAGACGAGGAGGCCGCUCGCAGGGUCGUCGGGUCACAGGGAGCCGCAGGUUCCGGUCGGGAGGAGGGGCUGGCGCGCCCGGGUCCCCGCCGGCCGUUUGCUUUCAUCUCAGCGGCCGGGGCCGGCCCCCACGUGGCUUAAUCAGGCGCGGCUGUGCCUGGCGGACCUGAACAUCUGGAUCCCGGCGCGGCCCCUCCCCCGCCCCUCCCGGGCUGGGCCUCUCUUCCACCAGCGCACCCUGGGCACGGUCCCUGUGCGCUGGGACCCCAACCGUUUCCUCAAGUCGGACGCCUUGGCAUAUGCCCAUCAUCCCAACACGCGGAAAGGCUGAGGCAGAAGAAUCGGUGCGAGGUCCAGGUCAAUCUGGGUUAGGACGUGGGAAACCUGGCACCCGGACGCCUGGGCAGAGCCGGAAUUCAAGUUCACACUUGUCAUUUGCAGAGUCCCGGGCACUUAACCCUUCUGCAAUUACGGUCCUUCAUUCAAUUUCAAACAAACACUCCUUUCAACAAAGAUUUUCUUGCCAUGACUUUUUUCUCUGACAAAAACCCUAUAGGGUAGGGCUGUCCCCCUUCCAAAUUAGGUCAUUGGAACCCGGAAUGGCACAGGGGAUGGGCUUAGGUGACAUGAUACAGAAGAGGGCUAACAGAGGCUGCCAAGCUAGGGAGGAUGGGGGCUGAUGACAAGGCGGGCCUGACAGUCUCAACAAGAAAGACCGAGACAGGAGGAUGGCCGAAAAAUCGAGGCUAGCUUGGGCCACGUGACACCGUGUGUGUGUGUGUGUGGGGGGUCAUCGUCCAGUGUAAAAAAGAACUUCCCAUGACUCUUUGCAGAGAGAGAAACUGAGGCAUGAGGGUUUGAGUCAGAGCGACCCAGGGCUGAAAGUAAGUUUGUUGGCUUCCAGCACCCCCUCCUUUUCCGCUCCCCGAGGCCGCUGGGGGUAAGCGGAAGAGGACUUGACCCCGGCCCCCCAGGUGAGCCCCGACGCCCCUCCUGGCGUUCCCGGGGGAGCUGGCCCAGGUGAGGGGCGGGCGGCCGGCGGGCGGCCGGGGUCGGAUUUCAGGAAAUCCGCCGACAUUCCUUCGGGGCUUAAGAGGGAAAGUUGACUCGCCGCCGCCCCGCGUUCCCCCCCCCCUCCACUUCCUACCCCCCGGGGCGGCGCGGCGGGGGCGGGGGGCGCUGUCCGCGUGAAUCAGCGGACUCCCGGCGUCCGGGAAGCAGCCACCCGGUCAGGGCAGGCCGCAGACAAGCGCCCUUUGUCCCUGGCCGCCUUCGUCACGACCCUGCUGACCCCCACCCCCAAACGGAGUCCAGCCCGGCAAGGCAGGGUGGCGCCGCUGCCUGCUGUCAAGGGAGGAGCGAUGAGAGGAGGGGUGCGGUGCUUCCCCCAUACGACUGGCUAUCCUGGGACUCAGCAACAGUCUUUUGAGGAUGCAGAGGAACAAGGACCACAGACUUGGUUGGCCCCAGAGCACCCAAAUCCAGACUGGGACCUCCCCACAUCCAUAUCUAGUACUUAAGUUGCAAAACACUAUAAAAUUGAGGUCUGGUGUCCCUACUGUCUAGGCUGUCCCCGGGAGAAAGGCUGGAGCACCCAUAGGCCCUCAAGCAGACUCUCAAUACCCCAUUGCUCAGAGCGCAGCCAGGUACAGGCAGGAGGGGGAGGGCUGCUCCUGGAGGAAUGGUCGGUCACAGGGAAGGGCAGGUCCCCGCUCUGCCCUUCUGAGUCCGGCAGGCUUUGAUUUUUACUGGCCCUGCUGCUCUAGCAAAGCUUUAGUGGUUCACAUUUGGGAAUCUGAGGCUGGGGAAAUUUCUCUGAUUUAAACCUGCCUUGUUCCUCCACAGGAGAUUCCUGGGUAAAAUGUUCAGGGCUAAUAAAGAGCCCUUCCACCCACCCCUUCUAACAUUCCCAGCCACCUUCAAUGACUUAGGUCAAUAUUUGUCAGAAAGUACACCAUAACUACCUUCCUUUCCUAAGCAAAGAAAGGCCUGGACUGGCGAGGAAAGAGUUAAUUCCACGGGAACACAGGGAAAGGAUGGGUGCACCUUAAGGCCAACUUCUUUGCCCCAAAGGGUAAAAAGGUCAUCCAGAGGGUAGGGGUUAAACACCAGAGAGGGCUGUGCCAGUU